AGCGAACGCUGGCGGCAGGCCUAACACAUGCAAGUCGAACGAGACCUUCGGGUCUAGUGGCGGACGGGUGAGUAACACGUGGGAACGUGCCUUUAGGUUCGGAAUAACUCAGGGAAACUUGUGCUAAUACCGAAUGUGCCCUUCGGGGGAAAGAUUUAUCGCCUUUAGAGCGGCCCGCGUCUGAUUAGCUAGUUGGUGAGGUAAUGGCUCACCAAGGCUACGAUCAGUAGCUGGUCUGAGAGGAUGAUCAGCCACAUUGGGACUGAGACACGGCCCAAACUCCUACGGGAGGCAGCAGUGGGGAAUCUUGCGCAAUGGGCGAAAGCCUGACGCAGCCAUGCCGCGUGUAUGAUGAAGGCCUUAGGAUUGUAAAAUACUUUCACCGGUGAAGAUAAUGACUGUAGCCGGAGAAGAAGCCCCGGCUAACUUCGUGCCAGCCGCCGCAGUAAUAC
rnacentral:rRNA from 1 species